rnacentral:rRNA from 1 species
GACGAACGCUGGCGGCGUGCUUAACACAUGCAAGUCGUGCGGUAAGGCCCUUUCGGGGGUACACGAGCGGCGAACGGGUGCGUAACACGUGAGCAACCUUCCCUUCCCUUUGGGAUAACUGCCGGAAACGGUGGCUAAUACCGGAUAUGACUUCCUCACGCAUGUGGGGUGGUGGAUAGCCUUCGGGUGUUAGGGGAUGGGCUCUCGGUCUAUCCGCUUGUUGGUGGGGUGAUGGCCUACGAAGGCUUCGACGGGUAGCCGGCCUGAGAGGGUGACCGGCCACAAUGGGACUGAGAGAGGGCCCAGAAUCCUACGGGAGGCAGCAGUGGGGAAUAUGGGAGAAUGGGCGAAAGCGUGAGACAGCAGCGCCGCGUGAGUGAUGACGGCCUUCGGGUGGUAAACCUCUUUCGCCGGCGACGAAGCGAGAGUGACGGUAGCAGGUAAAGAAGCACCGGCUAACUACGUG